rnacentral:lncRNA from 1 species
AACAUGAACAGAAAAAGAAUGUCAAAUAGCUCUAAGGUCUAUGAAGACAAGCAGACAGAUAAUGUAAUGGCAGAACGAUAGACGGAAGUAACAGGAUAUUUAAAUUGAAUAGAAAGGGAAGGCCUUUUCUGAAGACAGGCUAUUGAGCUCAGGCUUAACUGUCAAGAAGCCAACUCUAAAAAGCUCCAGUAGAACAUUCCAAGCAAAGGGAACCACAAGAUCAUAGGCCCUAAAGCAGAAACAAGCUUAAACUAUGGAGGAAUAGAAAGAAGACAAUGUGAGUAGGGUGUGAAGCAAGGGAGAAAGUCGUAGGGAAUCGAGACUGGACAGACAGAGGCAACAAAAACCAUUGAGAACCUUGUACGUGUUGCCCCAUUGCUGAGACUUGUAGACCGGGGAAGAUUUCACCUGUGUGAUGGAAAAUGUAAAUCUGAAAGAAGAGUUCUCCUUCACUCCUGCUCGGUGGGAGGCCCUUCCCAUGGACCCUUCUUCCCUGGCAGAGAGAGGGAGAGCCAGAAACAUGGCCUUUUAACUUUGUUAUCAGCAGU